rnacentral:sRNA from 1 species
CCUUAGCCCUGAUAACAGUGAAAAUCUUUUUGUGCCAGUGUUCUGCGCAAAAGAUUGGAACAUAAAGCGGUAAGAGCU